UACGUAGGGGCCGAGCGUUGUCCGGAGUUAUUGGGCGUAAAGCGCGCGCAGGCGGCCUCGCGCGCCGACGUGAAAGCCCCCGGCUUAACCGGGGAGGGUCGUUGGGGACGGCGGGGCUUGAGGCGGGAGAGGGCGGUGGAAUCCCGGUGUAGUGGUGAAAUGCGUAGAGAUCGGGAGGAACACCUGUGGCGAAGGCGGCCGUCUGGGCCGACCCGUG
rnacentral:rRNA from 1 species